GACCGGAGACGGAGGAGUGCUUUUAUUAGAUCAAAACCAAUCGGUGGUGGGUUCGCGCUCGUCAUCGUACAACUUGGUGACUCUGAAUAACUUUAUGCUGAUCGCACGGUCUCGCACCGGCGACGCAUCUUUCAAAUGUCUGCCUUAUCAACUGUCGAUGGUAGGUUCUGCGCCUACCAUGGUUGUAACGGGUAACGGGGAAUCAGGGUUCGAUUCCGGAGAGGGAGCCUGAGAAACGGCUACCACAUCCAAGGAAGGCAGCAGGCGCGCAAAUUACCCACUCCCGGCACGGGGAGGUAGUGACGAAAAAUAACGAUACGGGACUCAUCCGAGGCCCCGUAAUCGGAAUGAGUACACUCUAAACCCUUUAACGAGGAUCAAUUGGAGGGCAAGUCUGGUGCCAGCAGCCGCGGUAAUUCCAGCUCCAAUAGCGUAUAUUAAAGUUGUUGCGGUUAAAAAGCUCGUAGUCGAAUCUGUGUUCCGCGCCGCCGGUUCAUCGUCCGCGGUGUCAACUGGCGUGUCGCGGAACGUCCUGCCGGUGGGCUUAGCUCGCAAGGGCGGCCCAACUCAAUCCUGCCGCGGUGCUCUUCACUGAGUGUCGAGGUGGGCCGGCACGUUUACUUUGAACAAAUUAGAGUGCUUAAAGCAGGCUAAAACUUCGCCUGAAUACUGUGUGCAUGGAAUAAUGGAAUAGGACCUCGGUUCUAUUUUGUUGGUUUUCGGAACCCCGAGGUAAUGAUUAAUAGGAACGGAUGGGGGCAUUCGUAUUGCGACGUUAGAGGUGAAAUUCUUGGAUCGUCGCAAGACGGACAGAAGCGAAAGCAUUUGCCAAAAACGUUUUCAUUGAUCAAGAACGAAAGUUAGAGGUUCGAAGGCGAUCAGAUACCGCCCUAGUUCUAACCAUAAACGAUGCCAGCUAGCGAUCCGUCGACGUUCCUCCGAUGACUCGACGGGCAGCUUCCGGGAAACCAAAGCUUUUGGGUUCCGGGGGAAGUAUGGUUGCAAAGCUGAAACUUAAAGGAAUUGACGGAAGGGCACCACCAGGAGUGGAGCCUGCGGCUUAAUUUGACUCAACACGGGAAACCUCACCAGGCCCGGACACCGGAAGGAUUGACAGAUUGAGAGCUCUUUCUUGAUUCGGUGGGUGGUGGUGCAUGGCCGUUCUUAGUUGGUGGAGCGAUUUGUCUGGUUAAUUCCGAUAACGAACGAGACUCUAGCCUGCUAACUAGGCGUAUUUUGACAUCGCAAAGGCCCGCCGGUAUCGGGGUUCGCUCCUUUAUCGUGCGCGGUUUUUACUGUCGGCGUACAAACAAUUCUUCUUAGAGGGACAGGCGGCUUCUAGCCGCACGAGAUUGAGCAAUAACAGGUCUGUGAUGCCCUUAGAUGUUCUGGGCCGCACGCGCGCUACACUGAAGGAAUCAGCGUUCCUCCCUGGCCGAGUG
rnacentral:rRNA from 1 species